GUAGAGAGCAUAUUUUACUGUGUCAGUACAAAAUGUUCAGUCAAGUUAUUAUAUUGUUUCCUUCAUAAAGUACAAUAUGAUUAGGUGGCAAAUGGAAGUGAAUCCAAUCACAGUUCAACUAGUUCAACUUCAUUAUCCUCAUUGCAAGGGGAGGAAAAAUUGUCACAAGUACUAAUCCUGAAGAACACCUUAUAACAAAGUUAGAAAAUCACAGAAGAAUCCACUUUAUCCUCUGAAGAGUGUGCUCCGGUAGAUUCCUAACCUGUCAGCUGGCAGAGAUUCUCCCUCAUGCCGGUAUUAGAAUUCAGACAAGAACUGUAAAUCAGUGAAAGUUGCAGUGCGUGUGCUUCACUACUUGAAGAAACGACCACCUCGGCCGGGGAUGUAGCUCAGUGGUGCUGCUCCUGCUUCGCAUGUGCAAGGUCCUGAGUUCUAUCGCCGGUACCAAAAGAGAAAGACGACCGUCUGGUCCCCUCCCCAUGAUGCCAAGUGCUGCGGCUGAGCCCGGGGCAGUCUGGGCGCCUGUGCGGCGGGGUUUAUGCCCUGCGGCCCAGAGACAAGCCGGAGAGGCCUAGCCCACCUUCGGUGAGAAGAAAGCCUCUUGAAUAACGCGUAGUAGGAACGUGUCCUAUGCCACGCACGCUGCCCUGACAAGACACCAUGUCCUGGGCAGCUCUUGAACGACAGAGAGCCCUUCCUUCUUGUCUUGGAGCCGGGUCAAGUCAGGGGCGUCCUCCCUGCCAGGCCUCUCCCGCUGCCCUCUCCCGGGUGGGUGGGCUGCUCUGCAGGGCCCGCUCAAUGCUGGCGAACCCUGUUCCGCAAGCUCCACCGCCCGAAGGCCUCGCCUCCAGCACCAUCCGGCGGUGACUAACACGCGAGUCUGGGGGACACGCGGGGCGGAGUCCCGUGGACAGGAGCCUGGAACACCGACUGCCACUGUGACCGAGCAGGCGUCCACAGCCCUCGCCCCUCUUAAACGUGUCCCGGGUGGGUGCCUGCUCCUCCUGUGCAUGUCCCGGAGCCGCCCCGGUGAGGGGCCCAGGUGCAAGCCACACGCCAUCACCGAGGUGUGCUUCUCCAGUUGCUGCUUUCCACCGACACCGACGCGGGCAGAUGUCAGCUGGUGGGAAACUGAGAAACCACAAUGACUUCACCUUUUACUGGAAGCACACUUGAAACGCGGGUGAAAAGUCCUGUGCGGUAAAGUUCAGGGCAGUGAGCUGCUGUUGCUGGGAGCCCCCUGCCAUGGUGGGCUUGUUUCUGUCUGGCCUGGGCCCCCUUUGCCUGUACUUACAGCUGCUGGGCAGAGCUGGCGUCCAGAUUCGAGUCCCAAGGGCACUGAAAGCUACCGACAUACAUCGUACUCUCUUAAAUAAUAGAUGUUAGGAGUAUGUUUUUUGGAAUCUUUCAUUUGUAACUUAUUUUUCCCUUCUAUAAUGAAAUCUGCUCCUGCUAUAUUUCGGUAGAUAGAAACAAAUUGCAUACCACUUACAUUUCAGCUUUCCUUUUAUAAGGUUAUAUAUUUGCGUCUCUGGAUAAAAUAUUCUAUUAUGACAAUAAGUGUGUUGAGGAAGUGACAGAAAUGUAAUGACUUCAGAAAUGGAGAUUAUAUACUUAGCCUUUUUUGUGAAUUUUAAUGUAUGAUGUGUAUGGUACACAAUAUGAUUUUACACACAUAUUUCAUACAAUUCCUUAAUCUUAGCCUGUGGUUUUGUCCGCAUGUUUUAUUUGUUGCAUUUUCUUCUUCAUCUACUUAAUAUAUUAACAUAAAAAUGUAACUCUUAUUAUGACCAGUAAUAUCUCUGUAGUUGGAAAAGGAAAAUAGGAAGAAAAUACUAAUUAACUAAGAGCAGUGGCAUUUCUGGUGAAAUGACGUGAAAACCAAAACAAACAAUGUGACUUCAUUUGCUAAUUAACUAGUUAGAUCCAUACUCAUGGGAGCGGUUUACCAAAAUUGUAUUUAAACCAGCAGGUGAUGCUUCCACCAAAAUCAUGCAUCAUCCUAGUGCUUUCAGGGUGAUGGGAAAAUUAGGAACAACUUUUUCUUCCCAGGGUGUGGUAAAUCUGAAGCUUUAAGCUGAUUAAAAACAUAAAUAUCCCUUAAAUCUAGGAAUCAUGUCUUUAUCAAGUUGGGAGCUAAUGU